AGAACACGCCAGGGUGGAGACAGGAGAUCUGUGUGCUUCCCGAGUACAGAUCACGGCUCAGCAUCUCAUGGGAAAGGGACAGGGCUCUCUUCAGGACACGCAGUAAGAUUUCAAGUGCGGGCACUUUUAAUACUCCGCGAUCCAAAGGCAGCUCCAGGGCCAGCCGCGGUUUCCGGCCUCAAGGGCAGGCUCGGUUCUGGAGCUCCCUCCAGUGGCCGUCGGGGUGCCGUCACUUUCAGGGCCCCACCAGGAGAGCAGGGGCCCCGCCGAGGACCAGAGCGCCUGGACCAGAGGGAGCCCUGCGCGGCCGGCACGGAUGCCUCUCAAUAGGCGGCAUGGGGCCGACACGACUCGCCCAUAUUUGGUUCUCAUGAAAACAGAAGCUCCGUGGAGAAAGCGAAGAAAGUCCUUGAAAGUCGCCUGUUCAAAGCCGCCACUGCCGUGAUGCCCCCUGACUCCGCACCCCGCCGCCGUGACGCCCCCCACGACCCCGCACCCUGCUGCAGUGACGCCCCCGACCCCUCACCCCGCUGCCGUCACACACCCCGACCCCGCUGCCGUCACUCCCCACGACCCCCCACCCCGCUGCCGUCACGCUCCGUGACCCCCGACCCCGACACCCUGCUGCCGUGAUGUUCCCCCAACCCUGCACCCCGCUGCCGUGACGCCCGCCCCGACCCCGCACCCCGCUGCUGUCACGCCCCCGACCCCGCACCCCGCCGCCGUCACGCCCGACCCCUCACCCCGCUACUGUGACGCCCCCCGACCCCUCACCCCGCUGCCGUCACACACCCCGACCCCGCUGCCGUCACUCCCAACCCCCCACCCCGCUGCCGUCACGCUCCGUGACCCCCGACCCCGACACCCUGCUGCCGUGAUGUUCCCCCAACCCUGCACCCCGCUGCCGUGACGCCCGCCCCGACCCCGCACCCCGCUGCCGUCACGCCCCCGACCCCGCACCCCGCCGCCGUCACGCCCGACCUCUCACCCCGCUACUGUGACGCCCCCCGACCCCGCACCCCGCCGCCGUCACUCCCCCGACCCCGCACCCCGCUGCCGUGACACCCCCCGGCCCCCAUCCCGCUGCCAUCACGCCUCCCGGCCCCCGCACCCUUGUCUGUGUCCCACAGCACAGGACCUGUCAGCGAGCGUCUGGCGCCUUCCUCCCUCCCCUGCAGAGACCCGCCAGGCCCCUCCAACAGGUGCUUUCUAAACUGCAAUUUCCUCAUCUACAAAAGGACAAUCACAACAACGGAACCCAGGGGACAGGACUGCAUCAACUACAACCAGACGGCGUAGACGGCAGCACACGGCCCUCGGCAAAUCAGAGGUGCUCAGUGACCACAGCCACCAUGACAGCAGGGCGGGGCGGGGGGCAAGGAAGCAGCGCUGGGAGACUUGGAGACACCCCAAAAAACGCCUUCCUCAGAAACACUGCUGUGCAAGAACCUGCAAAUCCCUAAGGCGUCUGUGUCCGAUGGCCCCGGCCCCAUGCUCUGAGGUCGCGCAGGUGUCCAAGGCCAGGAGGGGCACCGAGGAGACGAAGAAGAAACAGCACAGCAGCUGGGGAGGUAGGAACAGCAGAGUCUGAGUCACCAAAGCCCGGGGCUGCCACUCUCCAGGGCGCCCCACUCCCAGCUCCAGCGGCUGAGUCCACCAAGCCAGGACAGGCCCAAGGACCAGAGGGCGAGGUGAUUCACAGUGGAGCUCGGAAAGACCCAUCCAUGCCCAGCGCCUUGUCAAAAACCACAGGGGUCUUGGUGACAAGCAAUUGAGGGAGGCCAACAUGGCAGAGCCAGGGCUGCAAAAUCGGCUGGAAUAAGCAUCAGACCUGCUAGAAGGGUUUUCUGUGCCUGUUUUCGGUGAGCACAGAACAACUGAAGGAAGCGCGGGACAGACACAAGGGCGGGCCUCGGUGCCACGGCUGGCCUUGGGCAGAGGGAAAUGCUUUGUGUACUUUCUCUGGGAAGCAGCAGCCCCAGCGCGGCCUCGGCGUCCUCUGCCGCCAACUGCUCCGUGACCGCUGGGCGUGUGUGCGGGGACAUGGGAGCAACUUCACAGUGGUGGGAAGUUUCUCUCCUAAAACGAAAGCUUCUCUAUACUACAGAUUGGCCCCAUUAAAUAAAAGAAAAUACGGUGUA
rnacentral:lncRNA from 1 species